rnacentral:lncRNA from 1 species
AAGGUGCAGGUGCAGAUGACGUAAAGUUUAGGUUUCCUGUAGAAACACUUCCUAUUCAUAGAUACAGUUGGAACUCAGAUUAGAUAAGUUUCAAAGAACCAAUAAAUUGUUUGAUGCUGAAAAUAACAAAUUAAGAUAUGCAAGUGAGGGAACUUCACCUUCAUAUAGUGAUUUCAAUUGGUAAAGAGGGGAAAGGGCUUUUUGCGAAACUUUGCUACUCUUGGGUGAUUCUAUUGAAUGUAAUAGAAAAGGAUAAUUAGUUAACAGAUCAAUAGUGAUAAGAUGCACAUUCAUUCAUCCUCCUCUUCCCUUCCUCCCCUUCCU